rnacentral:rRNA from 1 species
GAUUAAGUUAUUAAGGGCGCACGGUGGAUGCCUUGGCACUAGAAGCCGAUGAAGGACGUUACUAACGACGAUAUGCUUUGGGGAGCUGUAAGUAAGCUUUGAUCCAGAGAUUUCCGAAUGGGGAAACCCAGCAUGAGUUAUGUCAUGUUAUCGAUAUGUGAAUACAUAGCAUAUCAGAAGGCACACCCGGAGAACUGAAACAUCUUAGUACCCGGAGGAAGAGAAAGAAAAUUCGAUUCCCUUAGUAGCGGCGAGCGAAACGGGAAGAGCCCAAACCAACAAGCUUGCUUGUUGGGGUUGUAGGACACUCUAUACGGAGUUACAAAGGACGACAUUAGACGAAUCAUCUGGAAAGAUGAAUCAAAGAAGGUAAUAAUCCUGUAGUCGAAAAUGUUGUCUCUCUUGAGUGGAUCCUGAGUACGACGGAGCACGUGAAAUUCCGUCGGAAUCUGGGAGGACCAUCUCCUAAGGCUAAAUACUCUCUAGUGACCGAUAGUGAACCAGUACCGUGAGGGAAAGGUGAAAAGCACCCCGGAAGGGGAGUGAAAUAGAACCUGAAACCGUGUGCUUACAAGUAGUCAGAGCCCGUUAAUGGGUGAUGGCGUGCCUUUUGUAGAAUGAACCGGCGAGUUACGAUUUGAUGCAAGGUUAAGCAGUAAAUGUGGAGCCGUAGCGAAAGCGAGUCUGAAUAGGGCGUUUAGUAUUUGGUCGUAGACCCGAAACCAGGUGAUCUACCCUUGGUCAGGUUGAAGUUCAGGUAACACUGAAUGGAGGACCGAACCGACUUACGUUGAAAAGUGAGCGGAUGAACUGAGGGUAGCGGAGAAAUUCCAAUCGAACCUGGAGAUAGCUGGUUCUCUCCGAAAUAGCUUUAGGGCUAGCCUCAAGUGAUGAUUAUUGGAGGUAGAGCACUGUUUGGACGAGGGGCCCCUCUCGGGUUACCGAAUUCAGACAAACUCCGAAUGCCAAUUAAUUUAACUUGGGAGUCAGAACAUGGGUGAUAAGGUCCGUGUUCGAAAGGGAAACAGCCCAGACCACCAGCUAAGGUCCCAAAAUAUAUGUUAAGUGGAAAAGGAUGUGGCGUUGCCCAGACAACUAGGAUGUUGGCUUAGAAGCAGCCAUCAUUUAAAGAGUGCGUAAUAGCUCACUAGUCGAGUGACACUGCGCCGAAAAUGUACCGGGGCUAAACAUAUUACCGAAGCUGUGGAUUGUCCUUUGGACAAUGGUAGGAGAGCGUUCUAAGGGCGUUGAAGCAUGAUCGUAAGGACAUGUGGAGCGCUUAGAAGUGAGAAUGCCGGUGUGAGUAGCGAAAGACGGGUGAGAAUCCCGUCCACCGAUUGACUAAGGUUUCCAGAGGAAGGCUCGUCCGCUCUGGGUUAGUCGGGUCCUAAGCUGAGGCCGACAGGCGUAGGCGAUGGAUAACAGGUUGAUAUUCCUGUACCACCUAUAAUCGUUUUAAUCGAUGGGGGGACGCAGUAGGAUAGGCGAAGCGUGCGAUUGGAUUGCACGUCUAAGCAGUAAGGCUGAGUAUUAGGCAAAUCCGGUACUCGUUAAGGCUGAGCUGUGAUGGGGAGAAGACAUUGUGUCUUCGAGUCGUUGAUUUCACACUGCCGAGAAAAGCCUCUAGAUAGAAAAUAGGUGCCCGUACCGCAAACCGACACAGGUAGUCAAGAUGAGAAUUCUAAGGUGAGCGAGCGAACUCUCGUUAAGGAACUCGGCAAAAUGACCCCGUAACUUCGGGAGAAGGGGUGCUCUUUAGGGUUAACGCCCAGAAGAGCCGCAGUGAAUAGGCCCAAGCGACUGUUUAUCAAAAACACAGGUCUCUGCUAAACCGUAAGGUGAUGUAUAGGGGCUGACGCCUGCCCGGUGCUGGAAGGUUAAGAGGAGUGGUUAGCUUCUGCGAAGCUACGAAUCGAAGCCCCAGUAAACGGCGGCCGUAACUAUAACGGUCCUAAGGUAGCGAAAUUCCUUGUCGGGUAAGUUCCGACCCGCACGAAAGGCG